rnacentral:rRNA from 1 species
AUUAAAAAGUUAGUUGUGAGAAUCAAUUUAAUUUGAAACUAUUAUUUAAUUUUUUAUGUUAUGAAAAAAGUGUUUUUAAUAUAAGUAUUUUUUUGAAAGUAGAAGUGGAAUUAUAUUGUUUAGUAUAGUGAUAGAAUUAUGUUAUACAGUUUUUAAUUUGUUAAAAGAAAAGUUUAUUUCUUGUACCUUGUGUAUCAGGGUUUAUUAAAAUUAGUUAUGUAUAAUAAUUUUCUCGAAUUAGAGAGGGCUAUGGUAUUAUAAAUUUAGUUGUGGCAUAAACUUUUAUAAUAAUAUUAUAGUGAUGAAAUGUUAGUCGUUCUCUAAGAUAUCUAGUUUCUUAAGAAAUGAAUUUAAUUCAGGAUUUUGUUUAUGUGAUGUUAAUUAGGUAGUUUCACGUAAUGGGGUUCUAAUACUUUAAGGGAUAAGCUUUAAAGUAAAGUAUUAAAAUAAUUAAUUUUUUAUUAAGGGUUAGUAGGAUUGGAAAUGUCUACCUUUAGUUUGUUAUAAUUAAUUCUUGAUUGAAUAAGAUUUGUAUUUGAGUUUAGUUUUUUUAUUAAGAUUAUAUAUUUAAUAUUAUAUUAUAUGAAAUAAUGAUAAGAUUAGUAUAGGUUAAUGUGUUUUGUUUUUUAUAAUAAAGGUUAAAUUAAGGAACUCGGCAAAUUUACUUUCCGCCUGUUUAUUAAAAACAUGUCUUUUUGAGUAUAAUUUAAAGUCUAGCCUGCCCAAUGAGUAGUUAAAUGGCCGCGGUAAUUUGACCGUGCAAAGGUAGCAUAAUCAUUAGUUUUUUAAUUGAAAGCUGGUAUGAAUGGCUGGACGAGAAAGUGACUGUCUCAAUUUAAUUGUAAUUAGAAUUUUAUUUAUAAGUAAGAAAGCUUAUAUGAUUUUAAAAGACGAGAAGACCCUAUAGAAUUUUAUAAUUAACUGGAUAUAUUGAGUUUGGUAUUUUAAAAUUUAUAUUGGGUUAAUUGUUUUGUUGGGGCGAUUGAAAAAUUGAAUAAACUUUUUUUUUAUUAUUUCAUUAAUGUAUGUAUUGUUGAUCCAUUUUUUAUGAUUAUAAGAUAAAAUUACCUUAGGGAUAACAGCGUAAUUUUUUUUUAGAGUUCUUAUCGAAAAAAGAGUUUGCGACCUCGAUGUUGGAUUAAAAUUAACUUUUGGUGCAGGAGCUAAAAGGUUAGGUCUGUUCGACCUUUAAAAUUUUACAUGAUCUGAGUUUAAACCGGCGUGAGCCAGGUUGGUUUCUAUCUUUAAAUAAUUUAGAUAUCUUAGUACGAAAGGAUUAGGUAUUUGUAAUAUUUAUUAUAGUUUGAAUUCUAUUA